rnacentral:rRNA from 1 species
UCUUCUCCGCCGGCGACCGGCGCGACGGGUGAGUACACGUAUGCAACCUGCCCCUGUCAGGGGGACAACCCGCCGAAAGGCGGGCUAAACCCGCGUACAUGCCACCGGGGCAUCCCGGAGGCAGGAAAGGCUUCGGCCGGACAGGGAUGGGCAUGCGGCGCAUUAGGCAGUAGGCGGGGUAACGGCCCACCUAACCGACGAUGCGUAGGGGUUCUGAGAGGAAGGUCCCCCACACUGGUACUGAGACACGGACCAGACUCCUACGGGAGGCAGCAG